GGUAAAGAUGGUUGUUUGUGAGUGCAUUUUAAAUCACAAAUUUAUGAAAUGGAAAUGUAGUACAAAACCAUAAAACCAAAUAAGAAAAUUAAAAUAAGAAGGAGUAGAAAACGAAGAUUAAAUCCGAGGCAAGUGUAUUCACUCUCUCCUUAAGACAAUAUUGCCCCACUACGGUGCUCACGGUUGGCGGCAAUUGUCUCCCAAGAUACAACGGAUUCGAUUUGUGGUAGUAGCACUUCAAACCACAAAUCCGGCGAACUUU
rnacentral:lncRNA from 1 species